rnacentral:rRNA from 1 species
GAAUUGAAGAGUUUGAUCAUGGCUCAGAUUGAACGCUGGCGGCAGGCUUAACACAUGCAAGUCGAACGGUAACAUAAAGAAGCUUGCUUCUUUGAUGACGAGUGGCGGACGGGUGAGUAAUGCUUGGGAAUCUAGCUUAUGGAGGGGGAUAACUACGGGAAACUGUAGCUAAUACCGCGUAAUAUCGAAAGAUUAAAGUGUGGGACCUUCGGGCCACAUGCCAUAGGAUGAGCCCAAGUGGGAUUAGGUAGUUGGUGAGGUAAAGGCUCACCAAGCCGACGAUCUCUAGCUGGUCUGAGAGGAUGACCAGCCACACUGGGACUGAGACACGGCCCAGACUCCUACGGGAGGCAGCAGUGGGGAAUAUUGCGCAAUGGGGGCAACCCUGACGCAGCCAUGCCGCGUGAAUGAAGAAGGCCUUCGGGUUGUAAAGUUCUUUCGGUAG